AGCAGUCGCCGCGGGAAUACGUAUGUCACAAGCGUUAUCCGGAUUUAUUGGGCGUAAAGCGCGUCUAGGUGGUUAUGUAAGUCUGAUGUGAAAAUGCAGGGCUCAACUCUGUAUUGCGUUGGAAACUGUGUAACUAGAGUACUGGAGAGGUAAGCGGAACUACAAGUGUAGAGGUGAAAUUCGUAGAUAUUUGUAGGAAUGCCGAUGGGGAAGCCAGCUUACUGGACAGAUACUGACGCUAAAGCGCGAAAGCGUGGGUAGCAAACAGGAUUAGAUACCCCGGUAGUCCCUGUCUCUUAUACA
rnacentral:rRNA from 1 species